GUGGGCUACGGUGACAUUUACCCUAAAACAUUACUAGGGAAAAUUGUGGGAGGCCUCUGCUGUAUUGCUGGGGUUCUGGUCAUUGCCCUUCCCAUCCCAAUCAUUGUGAACAAU
rfam:Ictidomys tridecemlineatus contig085936, whole genome shotgun sequence.